CGACCGGCGCACGGGUGAGUAACACGUAUCCAACCUGCCGCUUACUCGGGGAUAGCCUUUCGAAAGAAAGAUUAAUACCCGAUGGUAUAAAGAGUUCGCAUGUUCUCUUUAUUAAAGAAUUUCGGUAAGCGAUGGGGAUGCGUUCCAUUAGAUAGUUGGCGGGGUAACGGCCUACCAAGUCUACGAUGGAUAGGGGUUCUGAGAGGAAGGUCCCCCACAUUGGAACUGAGACACGGUCCAAACUCCUACGGGAGGCAGCAGUGAGGAAUAUUGGUCAAUGGACGAGAGUCUGAACCAGCCAAAGUAGCGUGAAGGAUGACUGCCCUAUGGGUUGUAAACUUCUUUUAUAAGGGAAUAAAGUGAGGGACGUGUCCCUUUUUGUAUGUACCUUAUGAAUAAGGAUCGGCUAACUCCGUGCCAGCCGCGGC
rnacentral:rRNA from 1 species